GGGGAAGGGUAGCUUGCUACCUGACCUAGCGGCGGACGGGUGAGUAAUGCUUAGGAAUCUGCCUAUUAGUGGGGGACAACAUUCCGAAAGGAAUGCUAAUACCGCAUACGCCCUACGGGGGAAAGCAGGGGAUCUUCGGACCUUGCGCUAAUAGAUGAGCCUAAGUCAGAUUAGCUAGUUGGUGGGGUAAAGGCCUACCAAGGCGACGAUCUGUAGCGGGUCUGAGAGGAUGAUCCGCCACACUGGGACUGAGACACCGGCCCAGACUCCUACGGGAGGCAGCAGUGGGGAAUAUUGGACAAUGGGCCAAAGCCUGAUCCCAGCCAUGCCGCGUUGUGUGAAAAAAGGCCUUUUGGGUUGUAAAGCACUUUAAGCGAGGAGGAGGCUUCCUGAAAAUUAAUCCUUUUGGGAUAGGGGCCGUUACUUCCAAAAAAGCCCCCGGGUUACCUUUUUCCCACAAGCCCCGGAAAACCAAGGGGGCCAACCUUAAUUCGAAUUAU
rnacentral:rRNA from 1 species